rnacentral:rRNA from 1 species
UACAGAGGGUGCAAGCGUUGUUCGGAAUUAUUGGGCGUAAAGCGCGUGUAGGCGGCUUUGCAAGUCGGGUGUGAAAGCCCUCAGCUCAACUGAGGAAGUGCGCCCGAAACUGCAGAGCUUGAGUGCCGGAGAGGGUGGCGGAAUUCCCCAAGUAGAGGUGAAAUUCGUAGAUAUGGGGAGGAACACCGGUGGCGAAGGCGGCCACCUGGACGGUUUCUGACGCUAAGACGCGAAAGCGUGGGGAGCAAACAGG